CCUGAUCACAUGAUUGUGCCUUCUCUAGAAAAAACAAAUGUCAUGCAUGUAGCUCUCUCAUGCACUCACUCACUCCCUCAAGCCAGCCAUAGAGGAAGGUUACUCCAGCCAUAAUUGUGCUAAAAAACUUGGAUGCUAUUGAUACUUAUGAUGUCAGGCCCAAGAAGCAAAAACUAGAUCUAGAUGUCGAAUGGCAGGGCCGCUCAUGAAAGACAAAGGCAGAAGGCAAAAUAACAGAUAUUGGAUGCUUUUCCGAGAUGGCCUCAAGGAAGUGUUGCCUCAUCCAGUGUUGGACAUCCAUAAAAGUAAUCUUCGGUCGAAAGACAAGAAUUACUGAUAGAAGAACAAGGAAUAGCAGAGCUGGGUUCAGACAUGCCAGAUGAUCAAACAUGCAAGAGGCUCUUGGCGUCAGAAUGGGCAAUAUGAGUAUUGCUAAUGAAGAUGAUGGCAGUUUGAAUGAGGAUGAGAUCAAUGACAUUCACAACAGCAUGAGAUGGACAUCAGCAGUCAUGAACCUCCAGUCCCACAUCCACCACACCUUGACCUUCCUGCGGUCUUGGCAAUCCCCUUACCACACUGGAGUUGCAAUAAUCAAGCAAGAAGCAUAUUACUGUUCACACAGACAAUGUUCUUUUUCUGGAACUUUAUUUUCAAAAAACAACCAGUGGACUUCUGAACUUUACAAAUAACUAAUAAAUUCACACAUAAACAAAUGUCAACAUGGAUUUUCACAAGACACCUAGACCUACCUAUAAAGCUAUGGCUACAGUAAGCUCUAAUAACCUUGUAAAUGAUUUAUACACAUUUUUAAAGGCCAAUCAUAUGAUUAUGGCUUGCUUCCUAUAAGAAAACAGACAACACAUAUUAUUCUUAUACAAUUCCUGUGUUUCUCACAUGUGACAAUAUAUACUGCCAACGUGUAGUUCUGUAUUUUGUGUAUGAAUGUGGGCUACUUCAUAUAAGACAUAUAGUCCACUUAUAUUAGUUACAUGUUUCAGCAGUACUCAUAUAAGAAUACUUUUGAUUCAUAGAGACCCUUUCGAAAGUACCAUACACAGUUAUACAGGUGUAACAUGAUGGGCUAUUGUGCUAGAAUAUGUUUAAUAGGUUACUGGAAUUAUAUUGAAUAUUGUUUAUACAUGCUAUCAAAUAUCCCUGCAUUAGAGUGGGAAAGAGAGUUAUGUUCAGAAGUUAUGCAUUUUCAUAAUAAAUUAGUCCUAUGAAAUAUC